rnacentral:tRNA from 1 species
GGUCUUAUAUUCAAAGUAUGAUUUUAGACUGCAAUUCUAAAGGUGUGAAUACAAAUUUACUAAGACCU